CGAGUGUGCUGAGAGGAGGGCCUCUGGACAUCAAAGGUUCCUUUUGUCCCCUUCCGAGUGGCAGGGCAGCCAGGCCGCUGGCGAUGACUCAGGCCUGGCCCUGACGUCACCCACGCCCGGCCACUGGCCUCCCCCUGCAGCCAGGAAACUGGCUGGGGAGUGGCACUCGCAGCUGCAGCAAAUCUCAAAAUAAGGAGGCAACUGCCUCUCUCCUCCUCCUCUCCAUCUCCUCACAGCACACCUUUCUUUUCUUCUUCAUUUUUUUUUUAAGCCUCAUGGAAGGUUUUGCUUGUAGAUCAACUUUGAAAAUGUAGGAAGUCAGAAUGGAUGACAUCAUCAGAAAAAUAUGUGGAGCUGAUCUCAACAAGAAGUGAAGAACCCAGAGCAAGAAAGCGGUUAUAACUCCUGAGCCCAGGGAGUUGGCAGCGUCUGGGUUUCAGAGGAGCCAGCGUCUCCGAGUUGUCUUGAAGUGAGACUCUGCUAAGUUUCUGCUCUUCUGGAUUUAAGAUCUGAAUGCUGUGACCACUAAUUUGUUGAACCAAGACUCUGAGGCUGAUAUGCAAUGUCACUUACAACAUUAAUCAGAUACUGCAUUUAAGGUCUUGAUGUGGAGGAGAUGGAGGACUCAGAACCAAGAAUUUCCGAGUGAUUCCUUCCAAAGCACAAGAAACUGUUAGUGCUGGUGUGUUCUAACUGAGCUCAGAAGUUUUCUGGAUCUCCGCGCAAGAGCUCGCUUACCCUGAGGUCUCAGUGUCACGAUUCUGAACAUACUACUGCAUUAACACAGCCAGAGCUGUUCUUCACAGGGUCACUUCCUCAUCGUGUAGGUUCAGCCUCCUUCCUCCUCAAAAAUGAAACCAAGGCUUUAUCUUUUUUAUUCUGAUAGAUUGAAAAAUACUUUCCAAGUCCUGAUCUUGAAAUAUGAUCUGUGCGGGUGGUGGUGUGUGUGUGAGAAGAAUAACCACAUUCUGCCACUCUCUGGAGGUGGGCACAGAAAACAGUCGGGCCUUUUUGUCACAGACGUCGCCAUCUUGAACUUAACCUAUAAGUUUCCGGAGCGCAGAUCUGUGUAACAUGUAAAAAAAAUCGGUAGAUCUAUUAUAAGACAGAAUUGACGUUCUAAAAAUAUCCCAACACACUGGGGAUGAUGAACAAAAUGAACGUGAUUAAAUUUAGUCAGAAUAAAUGAGUGAAUUUUUGAGCUUCAGUUAAAAAAAUUCAGGCUUGGAAGUUUGGAAGCCAAGGAGGAAGAAGAAAACAAGGGAAGAAAGGAGAACUCCGUGCCAAAAACAGAAACACCUGUAUAUCCUAAAUAAAAUCAAUUAUCGAGCACUUAUUAUUUGCUUACUAUUUGCACUUGCCGAGUGCUCAGUUACUCUCAUUUAAUCCUCCCACACCCUGUGAGGUAUGUAGUACUCACUCCAUUUUAUAGAUGAGGAGACUGAGGCUCAGGGAGGUCAAGUCCUUUCUGUGGUCAUGCUGUUAGUAAGCAGGUCCCAGCCUCUGCCUUUUGAGCAUGGUAUAGUGAAGCAUGUGGAACCAGAAGUUUAGAAACCAGUUUUGGUCAAACCAUGAGCUCUUAGGCAAGUCAUUGGACUUCUCCAUGCCUCAGUUUUCUCACAUCCAAAACGAGAGCCUUGGACCAAAACUAAAGCUCCUUUUGUCUAUAAAACCCUCUUUGCAGUGAAAUAGCAGAAGCGGCUUGAGAUGUUUAGCCCAGGGAGGGGGCCAUGCGGAGUAAACCUUCAAAGGGCUGUUGUGAGGCAGAGGUCACAGCUGAGGGCCCCUUCUUUGCUACCGGUGAGGCCUGCUCCUCUGAGGAGGAAAUGCCUGCACUGGGUGGAGCCCUCCCCACCCCUGAUCUGAGGACUCUCCGCAAGCCAUUUGUGGCAAAUUCAGAAUGAGUUAGAGUGCAGCGUCCUCUAAGAAGCAGACUCUCUUUGCUUUUUGUUACCUAGAACACUCGAUGUCUAUUUAUUUUGGAGCAAGGCCUACUCAUCUGCCCGUUUUGAGAAAGAUUUGGGGGACUGGAUUACCAACCACCCAGGACACAAGAGUAUUUCUCGGUGUGGACUCAGCACCAUCUUGUGGACACAGCUCUCUGGACUGGGGAUGGGCUGUGGUCAUCAAAUGUAUAAAAGAACCUCAAGGGGCGCCUGGGUGGCUCAGUCCUUAAGCGUCUGCCUUCGGCUCAGGUCAUGGUCCCAGGGUCCUGGGAUCGAGCCCCACGUCGGGCUCCCUGCUCUGUGGGAGGCCUGCUUCUCCCUCUCCCACUCCCUCUGCUUGUGUUCCCUCUCUCCCUGUCUCUCUCUGUCAAAUAAAUAAAUAAAAUCUUUUAAAAAAAUCUUUAGAAAAUAAAUAAAUAAAUAAAAGAACCUCAAAACAACCCUGAAAAAGCUGCAGCCAAGGCAAAGCUCUUUUUAAGAGGGACUGCCUAAUCUCGGAGCUAGGAACUGCCUUAAGGAAUUUGCUUCUAUGACCGUAACCCUGUUGUUAAGCCCAUGACACCUGGAAGAGCAGCAUGGGCAGGCUCAGUGACACAGUAGCCAGACCUUCCCAGGAGCUGUGUUCACUAGGAAGGGCAUCCGUGCAGAGGCCUGCUUGGGAGGGAGCCCCAAGCUCCUUCCUCCACGGCCUCCCUUCCCCUGUAUCCUGCAUCCAGCCCCAGCUCUUCUGGUGUGGAAUACCCUCUGCCUGCGUCCUCUCCUCCCUGCUGCUACUGAUUGCCACUCAGGCCAUGACUUCUUUAUUAUGCUUCAAGGCCCCCUUCCCAGUGAGGUGAGGAUGGACCAGAAUGAAGCUGUGAAGAGAACAGAGCACUCAGGUUGUAAAAUGCUUUGCCUUCCCUAACUCUGUCUACAAACACUGAUGAGCCUGGCCACUUGGACGUUUUUGCCAUUUCCGUGUGUGAAGAAACUGAGUAAUAAUCUAAUCUGGGCUCAGAUGACGGUCCAAGGGCAGUCUUGCUCAGUGCCUUUACCCAGAGUGGAAGGAGCAACGUGUGAACCCAAAGAAGCCACUGACCUCUUCUCUGCUUAUUCUUCGCAGUAGGGUUGUGUGCGGGCGGCAGGGUAUCUUUAAUGGGCUUGUAGGACCCCCCUCCCCCCAAAACAACAGUCACUAACUUUGUAUUUGGCUUUAUGUAUCAUAAUAUUAACAUCAUGAUGCAUGUACUUAUUCUUUUAAAGUAAAUGUUCUUUCAAUUGCAUUACUGUCCUUAGGUCAACAUAUUCUCCCAAGACCUUAAUGUAGGAGCUCUUACUAUAUUACCCACAGUCCCUUAUUUUGCUAAAUAUUUGUUUUUGCACUUACCUUCCAUGAGUAUUUUUUAGUUAACUUCUUUUCUUUUGGGGUCAGCCUGACUCCCAGCUGCCCAGCCUGUCAGAACUAGUCUUGCUCACGCUCCCUGGAAGCCCGUGAAGCCUGAGACUCUCCAGGCCACCCGUCUUUCCAUUCAGCUUCUGAGAAACCCCUACGUACAAAAUGGCCCCUGAUUCCAACAACCUCUCAACCGACAAGCAGUAACUUGGUUGCUAUUAUCAAAAUGAGAUGGGCUAAAGAAAAGAGUUGUAGGUAUUGUUUUCUGGAAUUUUCAUGGAAAAUUAGGGUGAAAAGAGCAAUAGAAUGAGAUACUACAUUUUAUCUAUUUGUCUCAUCUAAUCCUAUUAAGAACUAAGUUGCACUAUUAUAUCCAGGUUUGGGGGCGCCUGGGUGGCACAGUCAGUUAAGCGUCCAACUCUUGAUUUUGGCUCAGGUCAUGAUCUUGGGGUCCAUCGAGCUCUGUGUCGGGCUCCAUGCUCAGUUGGGGGGGUCUGCUUGAGGAGUCUCUCUGCCAGCUAGAUAAAUAAAUCUUUAAAAAAAAAAAAAACAGGUCUGGAGGUGUUAAUUAACUCGUCCAAAUUCAUACAGCUAAUAAGUGGCAGAACUGGAAUUUAAACCCAGGAGUGUGUAAGCAGAGGCCCUGCUUUACCCUCUGCGUCUAAAGAUAAAACUGUACAGACAGAAAAAGGACAGCCCAAUGGUACAAGAGAAGGAGGGCUUAGAACUAUUGACCACAUCGGACAGUUGUCAAAAAUUUUCCUCAAGGACUUCAGUGGAAGCUUGAACUGGAAUCCCAAAAAAGUACAUAAACAUCUUAAACCCCAAAUUAACCCAGAUUUUUACUUUUUUUUUUUCUGAACAAACCGCAAUCUAAUGAAUCCAUUAAACUGAGACAUAAACUAAAAAAAUUCUAAAAUAAAAAAAAACAAAGUGUUCUUUAAAAUAAACCAUAACCAAACUGACAUGGUACUAGAUUCCUAGUCUAAAGUAAGAAGGAGGAGGUCCCAAGAUGUUGCCCUCUAAAAGUCCCGUGAUAUGCAGGGAAAGGAGCAAACGUGGUCUGCCUGGAGUCUGUCUACAGGAGAGGUGAAGAAGCAGAGCACAGCGGAGGCUUUAUUUUGUUUACUGUUCACUUAUUUAUUUAUUUUAGAGAAGGGGGAGUGGGACAGAGGGAGAAGGAGAGAGACAAUCUUAAGCAGGCUGCACGCCCAGCUGAUGCGAGGCUCUAUCUCAUGACCCUGAGAUCAUGACGUGAGCCUAAAUCAAGAGUCGGACCCUUAACCGACUGAGCCACCCAGGCACCCUAGUAGAGGCUUUUUUAUGAAGGUAAAAUAAUUUGCUAUCUAAAACAUGUAACCCAAUAAACUGACAGUACCUUAGCUUUGCCUUAUAUAGCAUAAUUUGAGUGAUCUGACUUAAGAGAACAAGUACACAUCAUGGAAAUUUAUGGAUGAUUUAGUGUAUGUCUUAAACAUUAUUUUGGUCUCCUUCCUACCAAGCCUUUUACCAGAAUUGCUAACAAACACCUAAGUUGAAUGAUUUUUUUUUUUAAAGAUUUUAUUUAUUUGAGAGAGAGCACGAGCGUGGAGGUGGGGGGGUGGGGAGCAGGGAGCCCGAUGCGGGACUUGAUCCCAGGACCCCAGGACCAUGACCUGAGCCGAAGGCAGACACUCGACCGACUGAGCCACCCAGGCGCCCCAAGUUGAAUGAUUUUUAUUUGAAUUUUUUCCUUUUUUUCCACCUGCUAAGAAGACUACUAACAAACAAUGCAACUAAAAAAAAAAGAAUUUAGGCGAUACUUGGAACUAAAUGCCCGCAUAGGAGCUAAGGCUCAGAUGUAACUGCCAUCUGCAUUAGGGAAGAAUGAUAACUGCUGAGCCCCUCUGGGGUAGUAAGCACUGGGAGGAGUGGGGGGACCUCUGGGCACACAGUGAACUAGAACAUUUGUCCCUGCCAUUGAGGAAUUUCACAUUUCCUAUAUUUGGGGCCUGGGGCCAAGGCAAUAUUUGUUCCUACCGACAUUUACAACUAAUUAUUAAUUGGUGAUAGUAAUAUUAAUAAUAAUUUUAGUAAGCUUUGUGCCAGAUACUACACCAAGCACCUUAUAGGUAUUAUCAUUUAAUCCUCAUGGUAAGCCUGGUAGAUUCUAUUUUUAGCUCCAUUUUGCAGAUGAAGAGGCUGAGGUGCAAAGAGCUUAAACAUGCCCAAGGUCACAGCCAGAACGUGACAAAGCCAGGUCCACCUGACACCAAAGUUCAGGCUCUCAGCCACUAUCCCAGACUGGACGUGGCCUGCCUUAUCCUGAAUGAUCCUUUAGUAGAGCUCUGUUUCAUGAAUGGACUAAUACAGUGCUUUGGGGGUCUCUCAGUUCUCCUGCUUCAGGAGCUUUAUUUAAUCUCUCCACUCGCUUGCCCUUUCAGUCCCCACGUCUUAUGGUAGCCCCUGUGUUGCACUCAGUAACCGGAGAGUGGUAGGCAUUUGAUAAGUGUUACCUUGAAAUAGAAAUGGAUCAAAAACUAGUAAUAUUGGGGCACCUAGCUGGCUCAUUCAGUAGAUUAUGCAACUCUUGAUCUCGGGGUUGUAAGUUUGAGCCCCAUGUUGGAUGUAGUAGACAUUACUUAAAAAUAAAAUCUUUAAAAUAAUAAUAUUAGUAUUUGUGAGCACCAUAUAUUAUUUUGAAGUUUACAUUUUUCUUGGGAAAACAAAAGUAGAGUGUUAUGGAGAAUUCUGGAUUUCCCUAAAGUAUUCACCACAGGGCCACCUGGUGGCCCAUAUGGCAUCUUUGUGCAUUUUAAAGAAACGGCCCCCUCCAUCUGGCGGGAGGAUGCAGCCCUCAUCAGUGCACCCGCCUGGCCAAGCAGAGCAUGAACUGGCUCUCAGUCUCCCCUUCCUGUGAUCACAGCACAUCACAGGGCAUAACCUGUCCCCCUGCUAAUGGCCGCUCUGCUCAGGUCCAGCUGACAAUUUGCCAAGCCCUUCCACACUGGUAAGUAGGCUGGGGUCGGGAGCAUAUGAGCCUUUGAUACCAAGAAAGAGGUGGAAAAGCUGAGUUCUUCUUGGCGCUCCUGAACCUGAAAUGGAGAGUCUGGUGUUUGAGUCAUACUGCCUGGGUCUGAAUCCCAACUGUGCCACCCACUAGUUAAAUGACCCCAGUCAAAUUACAUAGCCUCUCCACGUCUCGGUUUUCUCAUUUGCAAAAUCAGGUUGCUGUGAGCUUAAUCGGAAUGGUGUAUACAGAGUGUGUAGAACAGUACUGGGCACAUGGAUGUGGCUGGCAUAUGACGUGAGUUUCCUCCUGUCUGAUGAGCAAGUCUUGUUGGGGACAUUGAUGCGUUUGUGGUGGGAUGUUGGUGUCACACUAAAGUAGCCCUCAGAAAGGCUGCCCAUGGGGCGCGGGGGGGUGGGGGUGGGGCUCCGACACCGGCAGGAGACAACAGUGAUUUGUUUCUUCGUAGCAUAGUUAGAAGUCAUGGGCCAGUGCGUGCGCACAAUUUUUUUUCUACUACACCCACAUGUUUAUUACUUUGAAGUUUUAGUAUUUUUUUAAAAAGUUAUUUUAAAAGUUUGUUUCCAAUUUAGUCCAAGCACUCAAGGGACAAAGUCCAAAUCCCUGGAGUUUAAAAUAUUUAAGAACAAAAUUCAUCUGAGUACAUUUUAAAGAUUUUAUUGACUUUAUUCAGUGAUUUGUGAAUUGGACAGCAUCCAAUGUAGCAGAUAAAAAGGAGCACCAAAGGGCUAUGCAAGGCAAGAGAUUUUAUAGGCAGACCGGAGCAGAAUAAGGAAGUUUUACUGGGCAAAAAGGCAGAUUGGUUAUUGCAAGGUUACUUUCCUUAUAUGGGACAGCAGGGCGUCAUCGGGCAGAUUACUUACUUAAUGCUGAUCAGUUGAUUCCUGAUUGACUGGUUUAAGAUUCAAUUUCUGGAAGAGUCAAACUAAAUUAAGUUUCAGUUUGGUGACAUGGGGCUUAGCAGAAGUGACUCCAUUUUGGGCCUGUUGUCUUUUUUUAAGAUUUUAUUUAUUUAUUUGGCAGAAAGACAGCGAGAGAGGGAACACAAGUAGGGGGAGUGGGAGAGGGAGAAGCAGGCUCCCUGAUGCGGGGCUCGAUCCCUGGGAUCAUGACCUGAGCCGAAGGCAGCCGCUUAACCGACUGAGCCACCCAGGCGCCCCUGGGCCUAUUGUCUUAAACAGAGCAAAGCAUAUCAGUAGAGCUUAAAUUUUGCUCUUUUCUUUCCUCUGAGCCAAAGCAGUAAUAGUAAGCCAUUUUUCAGUGUUUUGAAGCUGUGUUUCAAUGUUUUAACUUGUUUGAGCAGUGACAACUUUGUGGGCAGUAGAUGGCCCUCACUUGUCCUAGUUAGCUCAGCUUUAGGCUGGCAGUGUUGAUUUGGUUGUGUGUGUGUGUGUGUGUGUGCGUGUUUCCUUAUACCAUGGCAGAACAGCCUCUUGACUUCUUUAUGUUCAACAAAAGCAUUCCCCUCUUUUACCAUAGGUGACAAAUAGGACAGUUUGCAUUGACCUAAUGCUGGAUCCAGAAAGCUUGGUAACAGUGCCUGGUGGGCUUUAGAAGGCUUCGGGUUUGGGUGCUUUUUGUUUUUGCAUUCAUUUGAUAAAGGUUUAUUAGCACCUGUUGUAUGCCAAGUAGAGUGCUGGGAGCUAGGGAUCCUGGUGAACAGUCUUAGCCCUUAUAGAAUUUAUACUCUUGUGGUAAAGGCUCCCAUUUGUCAAUAUGUAAUUACAAUUGUAUUGAGUACUAUGAAAGAAAAGUAUGCUGAGAAUAUAUGACAGAUGAACCUAAUUGAGGGCAGGAGGAUUGUUGGAUGGAGGUGGCUGCCUCCUGGGCUAGAAGGGCAUUCUAGGAUGCAGGAGCAACAUGUACAGAGGCCCAGAGAUAGGAAGAUCCUAGGCAUAUUCAAGGAACAGAAAGAAGGCUGAUGCAGGUUAGAGUGCCAGGAAAUGGGGUUAAGUCACAGAGGACUUUAUAAGCCUUGGUGAAGAUACUGGAACUUGGAUUUAGGGUUUUAACGAGCGUCACUGGCCAUGUCUCCAUUCUGUGUUUGUGGGGAGACUCUGCCAUCUGUCAUGGAGAGAGCUCACACCCAAAGUUGGCCCUCCCCUGGAGAUUCUCUUUCUGUAGUGUUCCCCCGAGGCUUCGUACUCAUUGCUGUCAUGCUGUACCCUGAUGGACAGGGCUCCAGCGAGUUUCCUGACCCCUGAAGACUGCAUCAUCCCCAGUCCAAUGAUGAGAGGGUAAAUCUAAAUACUGGUGGGGAGGGGAGGGGAAUGAAAACUCUUUUUCCUGAUACAUGCACUUGAGAUUAACAGAUCCUCGCUGUGCAAAUCCUUGGUCUUUGUCUUCUGAGUGCUUGGACUGAAUCGAAUUGGUAAUAGACUUUUAAAAAUCAACUUUUUUUUAAUACUAAAAUUUUAAGUUGGCAACGUGGCUGUAAAGGCUUGGUGUCGGGUGUUUAGCCAGUUCUGGGCCAGGGGGCAGACACUGUGGCUGACUGUGGUAUUUGUUCAGGUGGCACCUAGAGAGUGCCCGAGCUCAGUCUCUAGCAAUGCUCGCGUUGCCCUGGGGACAGCUGCCCGGGGCAAGGGGUCUGCUUGCCUUAACUCCCAUCCUCAGUGGCCCUUCCUGGGGACCAUUCUGACACAUUCUGCUUCAUGCCAGGCAGCAUCUCUCAGUUCCUUCUUGGCAUGUGACCCAGGCUGACUGCCCCCAGUGGCUCUAGCUCUUGAAUCUCAGCCUGGGUCUGUUCCUGCUGUUUGCACUCCGUGCAGGGCAGUUUUGUGUGGCUAGAUCAGGUCACCUGCUCUGUCUUCACUCCUGCUGUGUGUGUACAUGCCCGUGAGGCAGCAGAGUGUGGGGGACUGAGCCCUGCACCGCCUUCAGCAAUUACAGCUCUCCUGCAAGCAAGCACUUACUUGUCUGGGCGCAGUUUCCACUCGAUAUUGUGGACCCAAUAAUAUCAGCUUCUGUAUACCCAGCACAGACUCUGUUCAUUCCCUUAACCCUGUGAGUAUAUAGUAAUAUCCCCAUUUUACGUGCCUGCCGCACAGGAUGGUGAAGGGGAUUAAAAGAGUUAAUAUGUGAAGUCCUUCACAACCGGAAAUCCGGAAAUACAUCAGAUAAAAGCAAUUUUAUUCUAAAUUGAUUGGGGAAAUUCAAACAGAUAGAUGCAGAUUGUAAUGGCAAUAUGUAUGGUGCCUACCCAUAUCUAAUACUGCUUUAGAAACAUGUAUCUAUUUACAGGAUGGAUUGUGUAUUUAGUAAAUGAAUAUUGAGGACCUACUAUGUGUCAGGCACUGUUCUGGGUGCCUUAGAUACGUCAGGGAAGAAUAUCAAAGAUGACUGCCCUUGUGAGACUUCAGUUCUAGUAGGCAGAUGGACCGUAAGCAGAAAGGAGUAAAUUGUGUAGUAUAUUGGAAUGCUGUGGGUACCGUGGAAAAGAAAAAAGCAGAGCAGGGUACAGGGCACAGGGAACGCGGGGGAGAGGGGCAGGUUGCUCUUUUUUAAUCAGGGUGAGCCUCAUUUGUGUAUUUUGUGCACAGCCACUUCACUAGUCAUUCAGCAGAUAUUUCCCGAGUGCCCACCGUGUGCUGCGUCCUCUAGACGUAGCAGUGAACAAGGUGGACGAGGUCCUUUCCCUCCUGGAGCUUACCUCCUAUUGGGCAGAGUGGACAGUGAACAGGUAGGCCGACACAUGAUAAUGGCAGGUUGCGGAUAGGUGUACGAAGGAAAACCAGGCAUGGUGAGGGCGAGCGAAAGCAGGAUCAAAGACAGACAGGGUGGUCCCUCCAGGACGAUGUCUGAGCGGGCCCGAAGCAUGAGAGUGAGCCAGCCACGGGCAGUUCUGGGUUCAAUGUGUUUAAAGACCCCAGGGCUGGAAGAGACUUGGCAGGUGGAGUAAGCAAAAGGAGGCCUAUGUGGUGAGCACAGAGAGUGGGAUGGAAGGCAGCAGGCAAGUCGAGAGAGAGUGGACAGGACCCGUGGACCACACCGGGCCUCACAGGCCACAGUGAAGGGUCUGGAUUUUGUGCCGACUUCAGGGGAAAACCACUGAAGGGUUUUAAGCAGGGCUUGGCUUGAUCUCAUUUGUGUUUUUUAAAAGAUCGUCCCAUGUACCGCAUGAAGCAUGGACUACAAUUCAGUUCUCUCCAAAGCCCCCAGCUGAGCAGGACACGGUCAGUCCUCCAGCUGGUUCCAGCCCGCACUCACUGAACCCCACCGUGUGCCAAGCGCUGAGCUUUGCAUUGUGUGUGUUGUGGCACUCACUCCUCCCUGCCCAGUUUCUGGCUCAUCCAGAAAGAACCAGUGUAAACUCUGAUUCCUUGUCGUGCGGCAGUCCCCAGAAAGCUGGGGUGCACAGGGAGCAGGGGCUAGAGAGGGAAGGUGCCAUGGGGAGGUGGGUUUAGAUAGUAUAAUGCCCAAGCAGCAGUUGGUGUUCGGUCUGUUUCAGGAUGACCCAUCCUUAUGACUAGCUGGAGGGUCAUUCUUGUUCAGUAGCCAGAAUAUCCGACAGUUCUUCCCUCUGCCCUUUCCAGGAGGAAGCAGUCCACUGAGAGGAACAGGGCCAUUAAAUCAGUCGGCCCUUUAGGUUCGCAAGAAAACGGUAUUUGGUUUUUGAAAGCAGCUCUUGAUGAUAAGCUCACCCCAAACUGAGACGUUUCCGAGGACAGGAACCCUGUCCCUGAUCAUUUUGGUAACUCGGUCCCCCCAGCAUUCAGAUUAAAAAAUGCCUUCCACAUCAGGGACUCUGAGUGUCAGUGGAGCUUGGCUGAGAUGAGAAACGAACACAGCCCUGGAGGGCUUAUGAGAGAAACACUUGAAGCCUGUUGGCCGGGUUUCUUAAGUAGGUAUGUGGGCAAGCUCCAUCCUGAGAUGAACCCAAGGGACAUGGGCUACCCUGAAAUACUGUUGUGUUUGAAAAAGAAAAAGAGAAGCCAAGGACCUUUUCCCCCUUUCAUCUUUCCAAACAAGCAGCCUGAAAUAUUUAACCGAGCCCAUUGCAUCACUCAUGAAUCUGAUAAUACUUGUUCUUACAAUCAAUAUGCACGCAACUACAAGUCUAGAGACCAAAUGUUUACCUUUUCAAAGUAAUACAUUCAGGUAAGGUUGUUCAAGCCAACCUCCCUCUGUCAAAUACACCCUAGCAGCUUUCUGAUGUCGGCCUUUUGAACGGCUUUAAUUCCAGUUGAAAAAGCAAACUUUCCGGGCGCCUGGGUGGCUCAGUUGGUUAAGCAACUGCCUUCAGCUCAGGUCGUGAUCCUGGAGUCCCGGGAUCGAGUCCCACAUCAGGCUCCCCGUUCAGUGGGGAGCCUGCUUCUCCCUCUGACCCUCUCCCCUCUCAUGCUCUCUCUCACUCUCUCUCUCUCAAAUAAAUAAAUAAAAUCUUAAAAGAAAAAGCAAACUUUCCUUGCCUUACAAUGCCUUCUUGAAUCUGAGAGUUUAAUUGCAUUAGAGUCUGAUAAAUGCAGCUCUUCUCUACCCCUUUUGGACUGCAUUUAGAAGAGAAUCGAGCAUUUUCCUUUUCCUAGACACAGCCAUAUUCUCUAAAGGGCUUCGGUUUUGUAAUCGGUUUUUGAGAUCCGAUGCGUGUAUUUCUGACACCUUGUCAUGUGAGGAGGUCUGACGUAGUCCCCCGACGUGACUGAGAAAGCGUGCUGCAAAGAUGGGUGCGGGCUGGGGGAGCGGGAUCCUGGAAGCGGGUCCUUUGUCAGCACACUUUCUGCGGGGACUCGCAGCUUCCACUCGACAUGGGCCCCACACUGCCCCAAAAUGGACUGUGCGUUUGACUUUUGCAGGAUUCCAGGUCAGUGUCCUAAUAUAGUGUGUUCUUUUUUUAGUUGGGUUUUAUUUCUAAGUUUCUUUUGAGAGAGGAAGACAUGCAGUAGAGAGAAGCGAGAGCUGCUCUGUUGAUUCAGUUUUGUUGUUAUGUACGUUAGGAAUUGAGUAGCCAGUGCGCUGCAAGAGGGCGCUUGGCCUCUGCCUCUGAUCAGAAGGUUUAGAAAAACGGGCCUCAGCCUGGCCCACGAGAGCGGCCUUACUCAAGGUAGCGUUACUUCGCUCUCCAUCGACUCUUAAAGAUUUACUAAUAAAAGUACACCAAGUUUUAUUAGCAAGCCCUAUAAAGUUCUACAUGAUAGGUAUGUUGUUGAUUAAUAAAGAGGUUUUCCAAGAUUUUUUUUUUUUGCACUGUGAGAGUUAAAGUUUAUAUGGAAACUCUCACUUUAAGUUUUUUGACUUCUGUGUAUUUCAGUAAAGUUGUCUUGACUGAUUGGGAGGGAAGAUUUAAUUAAGCUGGAAAUACAGGGAGUUAGUUGCUCAGAUCAUUGGUAAGAAUUGUUCCCCUUUUUCCAAGUUUAGUUGGAGAACGAGUAGACCAGUGCCUAAAAGCAGUCUCCAGGAUCUAAUGGGGAGGGAGCUAAUUUGAUAGAUGAAAGGAUAGAAUCAUAUGAGCACACAGAAUACUGUGACCAAGCUAACCUUUGAGAUUUGGAAGGCGGGAAUGCAAGCAGUGCUAGAUUGUUCAAACAGAAGAGAGGCGGAGGUCCUGCAAAUCAAGGAACAAUUUUCACCAGAGUACGGAGAGUGUGGAGGGACUGUUGGUCCCCCUGGCUUUUCAGCCAUGCUCAGACUGCAGGGACGGUUAGUAACCAUUUCAAGCUUGGGCAGUUAAAGACAGCUAGAGAACGUGUAUCUGUGUGACGGUGGGCGUGUCUGUGUUUCUCCAUCCCUUGGCCUCUCCUCCCGGGGAUUUCUGCUUUGUAUUUUACCACAUUUUUAUCCACUGUUUCCCUAGUUCUUUUAAGCCAAUAUCUGAUUUAUUUUGAGUAAAAUAAUUUUUAAAUUAUAUCUUUAACAAUCACAUUUUCUUAUAGGUUAGAAUAGCAUUUCUCAAACUUGUUGUUCCCAGGACCCCCUUACACUCUUAUAAAUCGUUGAGGACCCAAAGAGCUUUUGCUGAUUAUCAGAGUUACAGAUCUAUCAAUAUUUGCCAUAUUCAGAAUUUAAAAGGAGAACUUAAAAAACAAUUAACUCAUGAAAAAUGACUACAAUAAACCCAAUUGCAUGAUAAAAUAACAUAUUUUUAAAAAUAACUGUUUUCUAAGGCAAAAAAUAUAAUGGGAAAAGUGGCAACUAUAUAACAUUUAGCUUGAUAGAAAGACAGCUGGAUUUUCAUUUCAGCUUCUGAAUUCAGUGGCAAGUAUACUGUUAUAGUUGAAGUAUGUAAAGAAAACCUCACCUCAUACAAAUAGGUAGUUGGAAAGGGGAGAAGUUUUCUAAUAGCUUUUUCAGUUAAUUGUGGAUAUUCUUUGAUAAUACACCAAAACUUGACAGGUAGGUGGUUUUUUAAAGAUUACUUGCAAUAUGGAAUUUGAAACCAUUACAAUGAACUUUCCAUACUUUGUCACAUUUAAAUCUACUGAUGUUUCUUUCACCUUUUAGCCCGUGCAUGGUUUUUUGGUAACAGUAUGCAUUGGUUAUUUGGAAAAUAUUAGUUCACUGAACUGUGGCUGUCUUCCAGACUCAUUGCAUGGUAUCCAAAAAUCACAUUCGUUAACAUUACCACUAACCUCAUUAGAAAAAUCAUUAUGUAUUGAGAAACAUAGAGCUCAUGGUGGUGGGUACCAAAGUUUAUGUUAAAUACCAAGUUUUCCAAUAUUGUAAUUUUCCUGAAAGACAGAUAUUAUUACUGGCAAUAAAAUGGCUACUUCCUUGAGGGGCACCUGGGUGGCUCAGUUGGUUAAGCAUCCAGACUCUUGAUUUCAGCUCAGGUCAUGAUCUCAGGGUCAUGGGAUCGCGCUCAUUAGGGUGUCUGCUUGAGAUUCUCUCUCUCCCUCUCCCUCUGUCCUUCCCUCCACUCUCUCUCUUUCUCUCUCUCUAAAAUAAAUCUUUAAAAAAAAAAAAAAAGAAAUGACAGGCACACUUAGUUCAUUUUAAAGUAAAUGUUUGCCCAGAUAUCCAUCCACAUCUGAAUAACCAUAAUUUAUCAGUCGUUUUUUCAUGUAAAAACGGUGUUCCAUGAAAAAAAAGUUGGCUAAUUCAGCUCACAGCACAAAGAACCGCCCAAGCACUUUUCCUUAAGGCAGUCAUGGUUUUUUCAGUAUGCACUGCAAGUGUUUUGUGUCUGCCUCCCAUUUUAUCACACAGAAUGGUAAAAAGGUGUAUAUUCAAUAGUCAAAAGAUUUAAUAAAAUUAAUAGUUUUCACUUUUUCAUCUGGGUAUUACUGGCUUGAUGUUUGCUACAGCAUCAGCUCUUUUCCCCAUCGUUGCUUCUGUACUGUUCAUGCACAUGUUAACAUGGUGGGGGAAGAAAGGCAAAUGACAU